rnacentral:rRNA from 1 species
AACGAACGCUGGCGGCAGGCUUAACACAUGCAAGUCGAGCGCCCCGCAAGGGGAGCGGCAGACGGGUGAGUAACGCGUGGGAACGUACCUUUUGGUUCGGAACAACUCCGGGAAACUGGAGCUAAUACCGGAUAAGCCCUAACGGGGAAAGAAUUAUCGCCGAAAGAUCGGCCCGCGUCUGAUUAGCUAGUUGGUGAGGUAACGGCUCACCAAGGCGACGAUCAGUAGCUGGUCUGAGAGGAUGAUCAGCCACACUGGGACUGAGACACGGCCCAGACUCCUACGGGAGGCAGCAGUGGGGAAUAUUGGACAAUGGGCGCAAGCCUGAUCCAGCCAUGCCGCGUGAGUGAUGAAGGCCUUAGGGUUGUAAAGCUCUUUUGUCCGGGAAGAUAAUGACUGUACCGGAAGAAUAAGCCCCGGCUAACUUCGUG